rnacentral:rRNA from 1 species
AUUGAACGCUGGCGGCAGGCCUAACACAUGCAAGUCGAGCGGGGUUUUCGGACCUAGCGGCGGACGGGUGAGUAAUGCGUAGGAAGCUACCCGAUAGAGGGGGAUACCAGUUGGAAACGACUGUUAAUACCGCAUGAUGUCUACGGACCAAAGUGUGGGACCUUCGGGCCACAUGCUAUCGGAUGCGCCUACGUGGGAUUAGCUAGUUGGUGAGGUAAUGGCUCACCAAGGCGACGAUCCCUAGCUGGUUUGAGAGGAUGAUCAGCCACACUGGAACCGAGACACGGUCCAGACUCCUACGGGAGGCAGCAGUGGGGAAUAUUGGACAAUGGGCGCAAGCCUGAUCCAGCCAUGCCGCGUGUGUGAAGAAGGCCUUCGGGUUGUAAAGCACUUUCAGUAGGGAGGAAGCGUUGUGUGUUAAUAGUACACAGCGUUGACGUUACCUACAGAAGAAGCACCGGCUAACUCUGUGCCAGCCGCCGCCGUAAUAC